AUUGAACGCUGGCGGCAGGCCUAACACAUGCAAGUCGAGCGGAGCGGCGGACGGGUGAGUAAUGCCUAGGAAUCUGCCUGGUAGUGGGGGAUAACGUCAGGAAAUGGGCGCUAAUACCGCUUACUAUCAGAUGAGCCUAGGUCGGAUUAGCUAGUUGGUGGGGUAAAGGCCUACCUAGGCGUCGAUCCGUAACUGGUCUGAGAGGAUGAUCAGUCACACUGGAACUGAGACACGGUCCAGACUCCUACGGGAGGCAGCAGUGGGGAAUAUUGGACAAUGGGCGAAAGCCUGAUGCAGCCAUACCGCGUGUGUGAAGAAGGUCUUCGGGUUGUAAAGCACUUUAAGUUGGGAGGCGUUACCAACAGAAGAAGCACCGGCUAACUCCGUGCCAGCAGCCGCGGUAAUUC
rnacentral:rRNA from 1 species